AGAGAUUAUGAAUGAUGUCAUUAAGAAGGUGAAGAAGAAGGGAGAAUGGAAGGUAUUGGUGGUGGACAAGCUCAGCAUGAGAAUGGUCUCAUCAUGCUGUAAAAUGACAGAUAUUUUGUCUGAGGGAAUCACAAUUGUUGAGGACAUAACCAAGCGGCGUGAGCCUCUUCCUACCAUGGAAGCCAUAUAUCUCAUUACUCCAUCUGAUGAGGUAAGUUG